CAAGAAACCAAAUAGUCUGGCUGACAUUCUGUCUCUACUACUAUAAAAUUAGAGACUGUUCUUUGGAAGUAAGCAAAGUUACAAAUUCAGACGAGUAUCAAAUAAUUUUCCUCUAGUGGAUUCAUUAUAUUGGAAUUAUACUCAAAAGAAAACGAGUCUUACCUGGCGGGCUUGACUAAACUAGUUUGUGUUUUCUAAUUUUUUUCCAACCUGUUCUGGCUGUGCGAAUAAAUAUGCGAAUAAACAUGCAAGGCAAGGCAAGGCAAAUUUAUUUGUAUAGCACAAUUCAACAACAAGGUGAUUCAAAGUGCUUUACAGAGACAUUAGAAACAAAAACAAAUAAAAAGCAUGAUUUAAAAUUGAUUAAAACAAGCAAACAAACAAACUAACUAAACACACACAUUUCACACCUGUUCGCGCGAUCUGAACCGUUUUCGUAAGGGGAGCUACCAGUCCUUCUGUGGACGAGCUACUUUCUAUUUUAAAUUCCCUGAAUUUAAAAUACUCUCUAGACCCAGUCUAGACCCAGCUGGGGAGCUACCCAGAGCUCUAAACCCACUUAACUAACAAACAAACAAACAAACAAACAAACAAACAAACAAACAAACAAACAAACAAACAAACAAACAAACAAACAGUAUAUAAAAUCCAAACAAACAAACAAACAAACAGUAUAUAAAAUCCAAACAAACAAACAGUAUAUAAAAUCCAAACAAACAAACAUAUAUAAAAAACCAAACAAACAAACAGUAUAUAAAAUCCAAACAAACAGUAGAUAAAAUCCAA
ensembl:lncRNA